UACGGAGGAUGCGAGCGUUAUCCGGAUUUAUUGGGUUUAAAGGGUGCGUAGGCGGCUUUUUAAGUCAGCGGUGAAAUUUUGCAGCUUAACUGUAACAGUGCCGUUGAUACUGGGGAGCUAGGAUUUGGUUGCUGUGGGCGGAAUGUGUAGUGUAGCGGUGAAAUGCUUAGAGAUUACACAGAACACCGAUUGCGAAGGCAGCUCACAAAGCUAUUUCUGACGCUGAGGCACGAAAGCGUGGGGAGCAAACAGGAUUAGAUA
rnacentral:rRNA from 1 species